rnacentral:rRNA from 1 species
GACGAACGCUGGCGGCAUGCUUUACACAUGCAAGUCGGACGAGUGGCGAACGGGUGAGUAAUAUAGCUGAACGUACCGAGAAAUGGGGGAUAACUAAUCGAAAGAUUCGCUAAUACCGCCUAAUCUUCGAGCGGCCGAUAUCUGAUUAGCUAGUUGGUGGGGUAACGGCCUACCAAGGCGACGAUCAGUAGCGGGUAUGAGAGGAUGAUCCGCAACGCUGAUACUGAGACACGGCCCAGACUCCUACGGGAGGCAGCAGUGGGGAAUUUUGGACAAUGGGCGCAAGCCUGAUCCAUCCAUGCCGCGUGUGUGAAGAAGGCCUUCGGGUUGUAAAGGACUUUUGUCAGGGAAGCGGUACCUGAAGAGUAAGCACCGGCUAAGUACGUGCCAGCAGCCGCGGUAAUUC